rnacentral:snRNA from 1 species
GUGCUCACUUUGGCAGCACAUAUACUAAAAUCGGAACAAUGCAGAGAAGAUUAGCGUGAUCCCUGCACAAGGAUGACACACAAAUUCGUGAAGUGUUCCAUAUUUUA